rnacentral:rRNA from 1 species
CAGAGGUACUGCUAUCGAGMUKSRWCGYWAGCCAUGCGAGUUGAAUGUUCUUCGUGAACAUGGCGGACUGCUCAGUAACACGUGGACAACCUACCCUUGGGUCCGGCAUAAUCCUGGGAAACUGGGAAUAAUUCCGGAUAGGUCACCGAUGCUGGAAUGCGCGGUGGCCGAAAGCUCCGGCGCCCGAGGAUGGGUCUGCGGCCUAUCAGGGUUGUAGUGGGUGUAACGUACCUACUAGCCUACGACGGGUACGGGUUGUGAGAGCAAGAGCCCGGAGAUGGAUUCUGAGACACGAAUCCAGGCCCUACGGGGUGCAGCAGGCGCGAAAACUUUACAAUGCGGGAAACCGUGAUAAGGGGAUCUCGAGUGCCAGCAUAUAAUGUUGGCUGUCCAGAUGCCUAAAAAGCAUCUGUUAGCAAGGGCCGGGCAAGACCGGUGCCAGCCGCCGCGGUAACACCGGCGGCCCGAGUGGUAACCGCUAUUAUUGGGUCUAAAGGGUCUGUAGCCGGCCAGGUAAGUCCCUUGGGAAAUCUGGCAGCUCAACUGUCAGGCUGCUAGGGGAUACUGUUUGGCUUGGGACCGGGAGAGGUGAGAGGUACCUUGGGGGUAGGGGUGAAAUCUUGUGAUCCUCGAGGGACCACCAGUGGCGAAGGCGUCUCACCAGAACGGGUCCGACGGUAAGGGACGAAAGCUAGGGGCACGAACCGGAUUAGAUACCCGGGUAGUCCUAGCCGUAAACGAUGCUCGCUAGGUGUCAGUCACGGUGCGACCGUGAUUGGUGCCGUAGGGAAGCCGUGAAGCGAGCCACCUGGGAAGUAUGGCCGCAAGGCUGAAACUUAAAGGAAUUGGCGRGGSAGCMCYACAACGGGUGGAGCCUGCGGUUAAUG